UAGCAUGGUCCAGCUACUACGUAUCAGACGGGCAAUAAGGGUUCGAUUCCGGAGAGGGAGCCUGAGAAACGGCUACCACAUCCAGGAAGGCAGCAGGCGCGCAAAUUACCCAAUCCCAACACGGGGAGGUAGUGACAAUAUGUAACAAUAUACGGCCUUAUACGUCGUAUAAUUGGAAUGAGUACAAUUUAAAUCCCUUAACGAGGAACAAUUGGAGGGCAAGUCUGGUGCCAGCAGCCGCGGUAAUUCCGGCUCCAAUAGCGUAUAUAAAAGUUGUUGCAGUUAAAAAGCUCGUAUUUGGACCUUGGACCUGGACGGGCGGUCCGCCUCACGGCGAGUACUGUCUUGCUGGGUCUUUCCUCUGGGUGAUCUGUUGUUUCGGCAGCAGGGAACCAGGACCUUUACUUUGAAAAAAUUAGAGUGUUCAAAGCAGGCUCGACGCCGGAUUAUAUUAGCAUGGAAUAAUAAAAUAGGACGUGCGGUUCUAUUUUGUUGGUUUUUGGAAUCGCCGUAAUGAUUAAUAGGGACAGUCGGGGGCAUUAGUACUCACAUGCUAGAGGUGAAAUUCUUGGGAUUUUGUGAAGACUAACUUCUGCGAAAGCAUUUGCCCAGGGAUGUUUUCAUUAAUCAGGAACGAAAGGUGAGGGGUAUCGAAAACGAUGAGAUACCGGUUGUAGUCUUAACAGUAAACCUAUGCCGACUAGGGGAUCGGGUCGAUGUUAUUCUUUUUGACUCGAUGGGGCGCGCUAAAGGAGAAAACCAAAAGAUGUUUGUGGGAUAUCACACAC
rnacentral:rRNA from 1 species